rnacentral:rRNA from 1 species
GAUGAACGCUGGCGGCGUGCCUAAUACAUGCAAGUCGAGCGAACAGACGAGGAGCUUGCUCCUCUGACGUUAGCGGCGGACGGGUGAGUAACACGUGGAUAACCUACCUAUAAGACUGGGAUAACUUCGGGAAACCGGAGCUAAUACCGGAUAAUAUAUUGAACCGCAUGGUUCAAUAGUGAAAGACGGUUUUGCUGUCACUUAUAGAUGGAUCCGCGCCGCAUUAGCUAGUUGGUAAGGUAACGGCUUACCAAGGCGACGAUGCGUAGCCGACCUGAGAGGGUGAUCGGCCACACUGGAACUGAGACACGGUCCAGACUCCUACGGGAGGCAGCAGUAGGGAAUCUUCCGCAAUGGGCGAAAGCCUGACGGAGCAACGCCGCGUGAGUGAUGAAGGUCUUCGGAUCGUAAAACUCUGUUAGUAGGGAAGAACAAAUGUGUAAGUAACUAUGCACGUCUUGACGGUACCUAAACAGAAAGCCACGGCUAACUACGUG